GAGCGUUCUAAGGGCGUUGAAGCAUGAUCGUAAGGACAUGUGGAGCGCUUAGAAGUGAGAAUGCCGGUGUGAGUAGCGAAAGACGGGUGAGAAUCCCGUCCACCGAUUGACUAAGGUUUCCAGAGGAAGGCUCGUCCGCUCUGGGUUAGUCGGGUCCUAAGCUGAGGCCGACAGGCGUAGGCGAUGGAUAACAGGUUGAUAUUCCUGUACCACCUAUAAUCGUUUUAAUCGAUGGGGGGACGCAGUAGGAUAGGCGAAGCGUGCGAUUGGAUUGCACGUCUAAGCAGUAAGGCUGAGUAUUAGGCAAAUCCGGUACUCAUUAAGGCUGAGCUGUGAUGGGGAGAAGACAUUGUGUCUUCGAGUCGUUGAUUUCACACUGCCGAGAAAAGCCUCUAGAUAGAAAAUAGGUGCCCGUACCGCAAACCGACACAGGUAGUCAAGAUGAGAAUUCUAAGGUGAGCGAGCGAACUCUCGUUAAGGAACUCGGCAAAAUGACCCCGUAACUUCGGGAGAAGGGGUGCUCUUUAGGGUUAACGCCCAGAAGAGCCGCAGUGAAUAGGCCCAAGCGACUGUUUAUCAAAAACACAGGUCUCUGCUAAACCGUAAGGUGAUGUAUAGGGGCUGACGCCUGCCCGGUGCUGGAAGGUUAAGAGGAGUGGUUAGCUUCUGCGAAGCUACGAAUCGAAGCCCCAGUAAACGGCGGCCGUAACUAUAACGGUCCUAAGGUAGCGAAAUUCCUUGUCGGGUAAGUUCCGACCCGCACGAAAGGCGUAACGAUUUGGGCACUGUCUCAACGAGAGACUCGGUGAAAUCAUAGUACCUGUGAAGAUGCAGGUUACCCGCGACAGGACGGAAAGACCCCGUGGAGCUUUACUGUAGCCUGAUAUUGAAAUUCGGCACAGCUUGUACAGGAUAGGUAGGAGCCUUUGAAACGUGAGCGCUAGCUUACGUGGAGGCGCUGGUGGGAUACUACCCUAGCUGUGUUGGCUUUCUAACCCGCACCACUUAUCGUGGUGGGAGACAGUGUCAGGCGGGCAGUUUGACUGGGGCGGUCGCCUCCUAAAAGGUAACGGAGGCGCUCAAAGGUUCCCUCAGAAUGGUUGGAAAUCAUUCAUAGAGUGUAAAGGCAUAAGGGAGCUUGACUGCGAGACCUACAAGUCGAGCAGGGUCGAAAGACGGACUUAGUGAUCCGGUGGUUCCGCAUGGAAGGGCCAUCGCUCAACGGAUAAAAGCUACCCCGGGGAUAACAGGCUUAUCUCCCCCAAGAGUUCACAUCGACGGGGAGGUUUGGCACCUCGAUGUCGGCUCAUCGCAUCCUGGGGCUGUAGUCGGUCCCAAGGGUUGGGCUGUUCGCCCAUUAAAGCGGUACGCGAGCUGGGUUCAGAACGUCGUGAGACAGUUCGGUCCCUAUCCGUCGUGGGCGUAGGAAAUUUGAGAGGAGCUGUCCUUAGUACGAGAGGACCGGGAUGGACAUACCUCUGGUGUACCAGUUGUCGUGCCAACGGCAUAGCUGGGUAGCUAUGUGUGGACGGGAUAAGUGCUGAAAGCAUCUAAGCAUGAAGCCCCCCUCAAGAUGAGAUUUCCCAACUUCGGUUAUAAGAUCCCUCAAAGAUGAUGAGGUUAAUAGGUUCGAGGUGGAAGCAUGGUGACAUGUGGAGCUGACGAAUACUAAUCGAUCGAAGACUUAAUCAA
rnacentral:rRNA from 1 species